UUUUUCCAAGGUUGACCUCGGAUCAGGUAGGGAUACCCGCUGAACUUAAGCAUAUCA
rnacentral:rRNA from 1 species